GGGCGAUCUGUACAAUGGGGUGAUGUGUUCAAUGGGGUGAUCUGUGCAAUGGAGUGAUGUAUACAAUGGGACAAUCUGUGCAACGGGACGAUCGGUACAAUGAGGUGAUCUGUACAAUGAGGUGAUCUGUACAAUGGGGUGAUCUGUGCAAUGAGGUGAUCUGUACAACGAGGUGAUCUGUACAAUGGGGUGGUCUGUACAAUGGCUGAUGUGUACAAUGAGGUGAUGUGUACAAUGUGGUGAGUUGGACAGUGGGGUGAGCUGGACAGUGGGGUGAGCUAUACAAUGGGUUGACCUGUAGAAUGGAGUGAGCUGGACAAUGGCGCUACUCACCCCACCCACCUUGCAAAGUGAUCCAGGACAGGAAAUGGGUUAAUAGAAGCUCGGAUUUAGAAGAGUGCCUGGCACGCCUAAGGGCUCAAGCCGUCUGUGUAAUUAUCUUAAACUUUUUCAUUUCGGAAAUGAAACAGCUCCUCCCUUCACCGCCACCUUGGCUAUUUCUGGGACCAAAGGAAUCCUUGAAGCUGACCGGGCAGGAGAGUCCACGCUGGGAGUAAAAUCACUACAAACGUUUGUAGGGGGGCCCUGGCUGAAUUAGUUCAAUUUCAGGGAGAAAACUGGUGUGUGUGUGUGUGUGUGUGUGUGUGUGUGUGUAAAAUCAAUGCAAAUGUUUGUCGGGGCGUGGCUGGAUUAGCUCAGUUUCAGGGAGAAAACUGGUGUGUGUGUGUGUGUGUUGUGUGUGUGUGUUGGGAGGAAGGGGGAGGAAGGAGGAGGGCAUUCUCUGGUGGAGGAGAAACAGCCUGAGCUUCUCCCCUUCCCAUGUCUUUCACAGCAGCUCAUACACUGUUUUCUCGCCUUGCAAUGCCCAACUUUCUACCUAAUGACCUACCCUCCCCUAAGGCCCUGCUCAACUCACCUUCACUGAGAAGUCUUCUCUGGCCUUCAGCCCUUUUCUUAAAGCCCAAGGUCUCUGAAGCUGCACUUGAUUGGUUGGAUACUGUAUUAGACCAUUC
rnacentral:lncRNA from 1 species